rnacentral:lncRNA from 1 species
GCAAACCCACUGUGUGCCUGGCGCCCUUGCGGUCACCCCAGAUUUUUGCCCACAUCCCUCUGUUCCACCCAGAGGCCACCUGCGUGCAGGCAUGGUGGAUGGUUGCUGUGUGCAGUGAUGGCCUCCUGGGAACUCUUGCUGGCCACAGAGUUAACCAGGAGGGACCAUCAACCUUGGAAGGCCCAGCUCCAUGAUGAUGCCUCUCUCCAGAGACCUCCUGACCUCCUGACCUCCUGACCUCCUGAUCUGCACAGCCCGGAAGGCCACAGCCCACAGCCACUGCCCCAGGUGUCCACAAGCAUCUCAGCCCCUCCACAGCCCAUGCAUCUCCUCUUUCAUCGGCUCAUGGGGAGUGAAGGACAAUGUCUGAAUUAAAUGCCAUGCUUUAAACUGAAAGGGAAACUGAGCAAAUAAAUGAGAGUAACAACACUAGA